rnacentral:misc_RNA from 1 species
UCACCCCUCAAGCCCGGCUUGUUGUUGGACCACGCCCCGCCUCGCGGCGGGACGGGCCCCAAAGAUAAUGACGGCGUCUGUGAGGACUCCAGUACACUGAGCUUUCGGGCACGUACUCGGCUAGAAAUUCAGACCCGUCCAACCCUUUUCGGCCUCCGCAAGGAGCCGGAAUAACACCAA